rnacentral:lncRNA from 1 species
GAGGAGCGGCUGGAGGCUCUCCAGGCCAGCGGCAGCGGUGGCGUGCUGGCCACCCAUUCUCGUGACCUUGCUAAGGCCCCUGUUGCUUAACUCUCUGGCAAGCCCUUGGUUUCUGGCCAUUUUCCAGACUUCAUCACUCUUCUCUGCCAAUUCUAUGAGCCCCUGAUAGCCUUCCAAUAAAUUCCACUUGAUUACCACAUGGCUUGCAAUCAAGAACCCAGCAUAACACACAACCACUUAUUAAAUACUAAGUAAGAGCCAGACACUUGACAUGUGACAUCUUGUCAGAUCCUCAAACACCCCGGUGAGGAAAGCGUUAUUAUCCCUGUUUUCCAAAUGAGGACACUGAGGCUCAGGGAGCUGGGUGAUGUGUCAAAAGUUGCCCAGCUGCAGAGUGGCAAUGCUGGAAUUUGAAGCCAGGCUUUUCUGAUUCUGAAUUCCAUGUUUUCUUACUUGCCUUUUUCUUCUGCUCCAGCUUGCAGUGCCUCGGAGAGGUGGCGCUGGCUAGCCUGGGACUUCCAACAUACAGCCUACAUUGAUGGCCUGAGACUUGUGGCAAAAAAGACUUUCAAAAUCUAAUUUGCUCACAUACAUGAACACCUGCCAGGAAGGAAUUUGAGGCCUUUGUUCUAAACAUGGAAAAGCUGAGUUCAUUUGCCCCAGAGGGGGCACCUGCAGGGAAAAGGAAAAAUGGUUUUAACCCUUUCCUUGAGUCAGAAAAUGAGGCCACCAGAUUCUCCUUUCAUCCUUCAAGUAUCAGAAAGGUCUGUGCUGUGAAUUCCACAGAUGAGAUUCAUUGCAAGAUGUGAGGGCAGAGGAAAUCCAUGGAAAUGAAAUCCACAUUCAAACUGGAUGCAUGCGUUCAGCAACUGGAAGCUGAGUUCAUAUUUCAUUGCCCAACUACCCUGACCACUUGGGAAUCGCAGGUUUGGAAGGACCCACAGCCAUUCUGUGGAAAUGGAUCUGCUUUCAGGACCGAAUCUCAGACUUCUUGGGGAAGGUUUCAGUGGCUGCCUUUGCUGUGCAGACCUGGAGAUGGGUCUGAUGAUCGGACACCUGAAUUAUCUGUGUGGCUGAGUUUCAAGAAGACCUGCUGGGGUGAAAUGAAAAUGGUGCCUACUAGAAGCCCCAGUGGCUUUGCUGGUGGAGAUUUGCUCCUCCACUGGCUCUUCUUGUAGACACACGACUGCUACAGUAUCAAGGGUCUGAUGCAGACAUGACAAUGUCAAGAGGAAGAGGAGAGCCUCGCUCUUCCCAGGCUUUUGCUUUUAAGAGCAGAAAAACUUUCCCCAGAGUUCCACCAGCUCACUUCUCAUCUUACUUCUUUGGCCAGAACUGGCCCUUGUGCCCAUAUUGUCAGUCAAAUGCCGACAAAGGAAAGGGGCCACUAUGAGUGGUUUAGACUUGGAUUGGAUUUGUCCUUAUUGGAUUGUCCUUAAGUCCUUUGAAAAAGAAGUAUACAACAGAAUGAAAUCUUGACUCAGCUUUCAAGAAUAAAGAGGGUGAGAUGACUGAUGGAUGGCUAGCAAAAUCAGAUGUGGGCUCUGUCCUCAUGGAGCAUACAGUCAGAAGGGGAAGAUUUACCUAAUUACACUAACAAACUUAUAACUGUGGUCAGUGUUCUGAAGGAAAGGAAAUCCAGUUGUAUGGUAACGUAUAACAAAGAAACUGAACUAGGAUGGAGAUGGGGGUGGUAAGUGUAGUUGGGGAAGCCAGGGACAUGAUCUGUAAGAUGGCUGGCCUGGAUUCAAAUUCCACUCCACUUACUUGCUGUGUGAUUUUAGAUUAGUCGCUUCUCCUCUCUGAGCUCAACUUCAUCUAUAACAAUCUUUCCUAGGGUUGUUAAAGGAUUGAAUGAGCCACUCUAUGUAACCACUUGACACAUAUUAGGCACUUCAGUGGCUCCUUUUCCAGAUUAAAGAAGGAGAAAACGUGUAUGUUUGGAGUUAGCACAAGACAGGAUGAUUCCUCAUGUUUGUUUUGGAAAACAAGUCUUAAACUCACAGCCAUGACAGAGUCUGACAUCAUCAGACAUCAGGCGUGUUAAGAAUUGCACUCUUAAUUGAAAAUGUCCAGAGUUUGUGAUUAAUUGCAAUCCUUUUCAGAUCCUUUCCCUAAGAAUUUAAUUUUUCUCCCCACCCACCCGGAGGUCAGGCUUUUAAUGUAACAAGUACAAUCAAUCUUCCACUGAAGAUGGCCUCUCUCUAGUGCAAGCUGGAGCAGGACUCAUCUGGAUUAGAAGCCUAGACGGUUUGGAGUCACCUGGUGAGGUUUACGUGCACAGCUGGGGCCCAGCCUACCUAAUUAGGACCAGAGAGUGGUUGAGAAGGGGACCGGCGCGUAUUCUAGGCGCCCUCCUCCAGUGUCUGUUUCUAAUAAUGGCAGAAAGUAGCAGAGGCGGCGGGGUGAGCUUGGAGCGUGGUGACAUCAUCCCUCCAGCUGUUUUACACAUCUGUGACAUGGCUCAUUAGGACUCUCUUAACACCUCAUCCUUCCCUGCUCCACACAGCUCCAGUUGCAUGAGAAAAGGUGCUCUUGCAUGUGAGGGGCCCCAAGACUGGGGCUGACUUCAGGGUCAAAGAUUCGCUUGGGCACUCUACCAGUCAUCAGAAUUUUCACAGAGACACCCCCCCAACACACACACCCGCAGCAUGCGCUCCUUGAAAGUGCUAAUAGCUUCAAUAUGAGGCUGGCACUUCUGCAUGACUGUUGGUGUUCAGGGCCAGCCUAGUCUUGGGGAGUAGGCCAUCUGUAGCAGCUGCAGAAAUGUUUUUGCUUAUUUUGAGCAUUCUAAGUUUUUCCUAGCCAUGAAUAACAACAAUCGAAUAAAUCAUCCCACAGUGUGUAGGAUGGUCGUUUUUUUGUUUUUUUUUUUCAGCAAGAACAACAAAAAAUGACAUAUCAUGUACUAUGGAUAAUACACAUAAAAAAUUCCGCCAUAUUUAUAGGCAGCAGUUAACUAACUAUAUUUAGAUAUUUGAAACUGUCUUAAAUCAGAUGAAUGAUAAAAGCUUCCUGGAUUUCAGUGGAAAGCCUAAAUGACUAAACCAAAAAAAAAAAAAAAAGUUUUAUUACUAUGAAGUAUAGUGCAUAUUCUGAAAUAAAAGAUAUGUGAUAUUUAUAAAAUAAAAAGAGAAACUUUGUCAAUAGACAGCAUCAUUUAAUAAAGCAGGGUCCCAGAUUUACAGACCUUUGUUUGAGUUCUAAAAUUUACUAGGAAGGAGGGUGCAGGGGUGGAAGCCGUUCAUUGUAGCUCUUUAAAUUUCCUCACUUUUGAAUGGAGAUGAUAAAAUGCCCCUCACAGGGUUUUUGAGAGGACUAAAAAUAUAAGGUAUGGAAAGUGUUUAGCAUUGUGCCUAUCACAAAGUUAGUGCUUGAAUAUAUUAGCUAUUGUCAUUAAUACUAUUGCUAUUCUUAUUUCUUCUACAACUGUUAUUGUUGAAAUGCGAAGUCAAAAUGGUACAUUUUUAUCAACUAUUAAGUGCUAUCAUGUUUCAAUUAAUACAUAAUGUUAUUGAUUA